rnacentral:rRNA from 1 species
AGUGGCGGACGGGUGAGUAAUGUCUGGGAAACUGCCCGAUGGAGGGGGCUAACUACUGGAAACGGUAGCUAAUACCGCAUACCAUCGUAUUUGCCCAGAUGGGAUUAGCUAGUAGGUGGGGUAACGGCUCACCUAGGCGACGAUCCCUAGCUGGUCUGAGAGGAUGACCAGCCACACUGGAAAUGAGACACGGUCAAGAGGCCUACGGGAGGAAGCAGUGGGGAAUAUUGCACAAGUGGCGCAAGCUUGAUGCAGCCAUGCCGCGGGUAUGAAGAAGGCCGUCGGGUUGUAAAGUACUUUCAGCUAGGAGGAGUUACUCGCAGAAGAAGCAACGGCUAACUCCGUGCUAGCAGCCGCGGGAAUUC